GGAGGAAAGCAGGGGAUCGAAAGACCUUAUGCUUUUGGAGCGGCCGAUGUCUGAUUAGCUAGUUGGUGAGGUAAAUGCCUACCAAGGCGACGAUCAGUAGUUGGUCUGAGAGGACGACCAGCCACACCGGGACUGAGACACGGCCCAGACUCCUACGGGGGGCAGCAGUGGGGAAUUUUGGACAAUGGGGGAAACCCUGAUCCAGCCAUGCCGCGUGAGUGAAGAAGGCCUUCGGGUUGUAAAGCUCUUUCAGUCGAGAAGAAAAGGUUGUGAUUAAUACUCACAAUCCAUGACGGUAUCGACAGAAGAAGCACCGGCUAACUACGUGCCAGCAGCCGCGGUAAUACGUAGGGUGCGAGCGUUAAUCGGAAUUACUGGGCGUAAAGGGUGCGCAGGCGGCUCUGUAAGUCAGAUGUGAAAUCCCCGGGCUUAACCUGGGAAUUGCGUUUGAAACUACAAGGCUAGA
rnacentral:rRNA from 1 species